GUAAAAACUCUGUGUCCCCUGCUUUAUGAUGUAAUUAAUAAUUAUGUUUAAAUAUUAUUUCCAGACCCCCCUGUCAUUUUAGAGUUACUCGGAAUUUGUCGACUUGCAUCGUGAUCCGAGAUCCCGACGGAGUGCCGGACAUUUCCGAGUUUUGAAUUUACCACGUGGUGAAGAAAUAUGGCAAGAAGCAAGGAAGAAAAAUGGAGGACAUUUUUUAUCAAUUUCACCUUUAUUGGAAGGUAAUAUGCUUUAUUUAAUAUCAAUCUUUGUAGUAGAGUACUUAGAUUGCCAAUAUAGAUGGAAAUUUAGGACAUCGAAGCCGAAUUCAAUGUGAUAUUUCGGCAUAAAGUUUGUGCUUUUGCUGUGCACGUGGUUCGUUUUAUGAGCGAUUGUCGAACUUUAUAUCGUGUUUUAGUUCAUAAUUAUUGUCAAUACUAUAGACCAAGUGAGUAAAAUGACUAAUUAAGAUCUAGAAUUGAUUAUUAAAAUUGUCGAAAAAAGUUAAGGCUGCGUUCAGACUGUGUGCCCGGCCAGGGGCGUAGGAAGCAUCUAAAAGUUGGGGGGGGGGGGGGGCAGGCUUUGAGGGGCACCUAAAAAUUUUUUCCCAGAAAUGUGGGCAACAGGGGUGGGGGUCAUCUCAAAAAAAUUUUCCGGACAUACCAAAAAUUUGUCCGGUCUGAACACAGCCUUAAAUGACGCACUUUGUGGUAUGAAUAUUUCCAUAUUUUCAUCAGCUUGUACAUACAUGUCAAUCUUUCGACAAAAUGUUUACAAUGACAAUAUAAUGGUGUUUUUGUUAAUUUAUUUGCAGAAAAAAGCCUUGCUUUAGCAACAUUACAAUUUAUUUGAUUCUUGCUUGUAAAACAAAAAGUUGAAAAUAAAAAUAAAAUUUAAUUAAAAAUAAAACUAUAAGUGAAAAUUACUGCAAUAAGGCAAAAUGCAGAAUUGUGUUUCUUGACAUCGCUUCAGGCUGGUGUGGAUUUUGACAGCGAAAGGCUGGGAGGUGCUCUUAUAGAUACUGUAGGUGGGGCUUCUCUGUAAGCGGGCUAGUAAUAUUACUCUAAAGUUUGUUGGUUUGAAGCACAUCUACUGCAGGCUUGAAAAUAUGCACCAGUAGCAAUGUAAAGCCUUUUUCAACAUGGGCUGGCAAGGAUUUAGAGAAUUUCAAAAAAAUAAAAAGGACAGUAUAAUUUGUUAAAUUUAAAAGCCUGAAAAAAAAAAUUCCAAUCAAAUUUUAACGUUUCCAAUUAGCCUUUCUCACGAUGACGAAUAUCCGCCAUUUUUGGGUGGCAUCUAAUUCUUGUUAACCAAUGCAGACAAUUAAAGCAAUGAGAAAUGCAAUUUUUCAAAAUAAACUAACCAUUUACAAAGCAAAUUUACCGUCAUUCGUCAAAAAAAUUAUAAAAAGUCACUGUUAUGUGGACUUAUCUUGCAGAUUUCUGCUAAAAAGCCACCCAAAAAUGGCGGUGUGAGAAAGGCUGAUUGGUCAGCAUUUUUCUGAUCAGUUUUGAACAUUACAAAAAAUGUGGUUAAAGGGGCCCUACGGUCAUUUUUUAGUCGAAAAGCCCCCUUUAGGUAUUGUUUACAUUUUUUGUUAUUGUCGCUACUUGACAUGCGGACCACGGCUUGCAUGCAUCUUCUGGUGUGCGGAAGUACUCAUACUCAUGGAUACUGCAUGUAAGAUACAGCCAAACGAACCUCCGUGGAGUCCCCUACUUAAGGUGGCUUUUUGACUAAAAAAUGACUGUAGGGCCCCUUUAAGGUUUCAUUUCCUGAAAAAAGUCGGAUAAGAUUUUUUUCAAAUAUUUUUUGGCUUGACAUUGCUCAUCAACCAAAACAGACAAUAUCAAGCAACAGAUAGUAUAUUUGGCUUACAUCAUAAACAAACAACAAAAAGUAGGGUAGGCAGGUAAAACAAACAACCCAACCACAUCUAGAAAAACAUUAGGGCAGAGAAAAUAGGAUUGGCUGAAAUAUUUUUUGUGUCAGCCUCUGGUGCUCUGCACAUGUUUAUAUUGAGUUUUUUGUCUCUCUAGCCAAGCUACUCACAUCCUCAGCAAAAUUCUCAUAUAUAUUUGUAGAUGUACAGUGCAAGUUCCAAGAAUGUCGCAAGCCCCUGCCUCAAGAUCUCAUGAUUACGACAAAUGGACACAUUCCAAGAUCCUGAAUAAGAGGUAAAUGAUUUUUUUUUUCUCAUUAGUUCUAACCUCCUUGUAUUUCUUUGACAAUUUUUGUUGUAAUAUAUUAAUUUGUUUCAUGUUCUCAAUAGUGAAUCUUUGACAUUUUCUAGAUGUGUGUUGCAAUUUCCAAGAAUGUCUCGAGUUGUUGGCUGAAGUGUUUUUGGUCACAAAUAUGAACACCGUCAUUGGAAAGUAUAUAAAAGGUCUUAAUAUUUUCUUGUCUUAUCUUACAUGAAAUGCUUUGAACAUUAUGUGAUUGCUUGUGAUCAAUAGUUUCGAAAUUCCCAGCAGAAUAUUCCAAAAUAGCAUGACCAUCUUACUUAUGACACAAAAUUCAACAACCUUUAACCAAACCAACCAAAUGCCUAAAUAUGGUGAGUGCACAAUAAUGCACUCUUUUUAUUCUAUUAUUACACCACUUUUUCGACUUGUGUUAAAUUAAUUUGGAAAAUCUCAGUUUUGUGGUCCCUCGAUUACUUGAUUAAGUUUUGUGUUGCCACCAAUCACAGAAAGUCUGUAAUUUUCAAAGCACAUAAGCAUUUUAUGAGCAAGCCAGAAAAUGACAAACUGUCUGUAUUUUGAAAAAUUGUGUUUAAAAUUAACAGUGACAAUUUCGUUUGGACAUACAUUUUUUCUGUUUGGCAUAAUAUCUAAAUCUUAAAGUACAAAACGUAUAAAUUUGUACUUUAUCUGUG
rnacentral:lncRNA from 1 species